rnacentral:rRNA from 1 species
AUACGUAGGUGGCAAGCGUUGUCCGGAAUUAUUGGGCGUAAAGCGCGCGCAGGUGGUUCCUUAAGUCUGAUGUGAAAGCCCCCGGCUCAACCGGGGAGGGUCAUUGGAAACUGGGGAACUUGAGUGCAGAAGAGGAUAGUGGAAUUCCAAGUGUAGCGGUGAAAUGCGUAGAGAUUUGGAGGAACACCAGUGGCGAAGGCGACUGUCUGGUCUGUAACUGACACUGAGGCGCGAAAGCGUGGGGAGCAAACAGGAUUAGAUACCCUGGUAGUCCACGCCGUAAACGAUGAGUGCUAAGUGUUGGGGGGUUUCCGCCCCUCAGUGCUGCAGCUAACGCAUUAAGCAAUCCGCCUGGGGAGUACGGUCGCAAGACUGAAACUCAAAGGAAUUGACGGGG